rnacentral:rRNA from 1 species
GGAGGUAGAGCACUGAAUGUCCUAGGGGGUAUUGCACUUACCGAAGACUAUCAAACUCCGAAUGCCGUAUUCUUUUGCUUGGGAGUCAGACUAUGGGUGAUAAGAUUCAUAGUCAAGAGGGCAACAGCCCAGAUCGUCAGCUAAGGUCCCUAAAUGUAAGUUAAGUGGUAAAGGAUGUGGAAUUGCACAGACAACCAGGAUGUUGGCUUAGAAGCAGCCACUCAUUUAAAGAGUGCGUAAUAGCUCACUGGUCGAGUGAUUCUGCGCCGAAAAUUUCCGGGGCUAAAACUUACUACCGAAGCUACGGCAUCAUUAUGAUGGGUAGGGGAGCUUUCUAUGCGGCUUGAAGCAUGACCGUAAGGACAUGUGGACUGCAUAGAAGUGAGAAUGUUGGCAUGAGUAGCGAGAUGUGGGUGAGAAUCCCACAGGCCGUAAACCCAAGGUUUCCAGGGGAAGGUUCGUCCGCCCUGGGUUAGUCAGGACCUAAGCCGAGGCCGAAAGGCGUAGGUGAUGGACAACAGGUUGAUAUUCCUGUACCACCAAUAACCGUUUGAGAAAUGGGAUGACACAGUAGGAUAAGCUAACCGCACUGUUGGUUAUGUGCGGGCAAGUAUUGAGGCAGUUCCGAUAGGCAAAUCCGUCGGAAUAAUGCUGGGGUACGAUGCGGAGCGAAAUUUAGUAGCGAAGUAGCUGAUUUCACACUGUCGAGAAAAGUCUCUAUCGAGGUUAAAGGUGCCUGUACCGCAAACCGACACAGGUGGGUGAGGAGAGUAUCCUAAGGCCAGCGAGAGAACUGUUGUUAAGGAACUCGGCAAAAUGACCCCGUAACUUAGGGAGAAGGGGUGCCUUCGAAAGAAGGCCGCAGAGAAUAGGCCCAAGCGACUGUUUACCAAAAACAUAGGUUUCUGCUAAGUCGCAAGACGAUGUAUAGGAGCUGACGCCUGCCCGGUGCUGGAAGGUUAAGGGGAUCUGUUAGAGCAAUCGAAGCAGUGAACUUAAGCCCCAGUAAACGGCGGCCGUAACUAUAACGGUCCUAAGGUAGCGAAAUUCCUUGUCGGGUAAGUUCCGACCCGCACGAAAGGCGUAACGAUUUGGGCACUGUCUCAACAACAGACUCGGUGAAAUUGUAAUACCGGUGAAGAUGCCGGUUACCUGCGACAGGACGGAAAGACCCCAUGGAGCUUUACUGUAGCUUGACAUUGAGUCUCGGUGCUACAUGUACAGGAUAGGUGGGAGACUAUGAAGCAUGGACGUCAGUCUGUGUGGAGUCAUCCUUGGGAUACCACCCUUGUAGUACUGGGAUUCUAACCAGAGGCCAUGAAUCUGGUCUUGGGACACUGUCAGGUGGACAGUUUGACUGGGGCGGUCGCCUCCCAAAAAGUAACGGAGGCGCUCAAAGGUUCUCUCAGUACGGUCGGAAAUCGUACGAAGAGUGUAAAGGCAAAAGAGAGCUUGAUUGCAAGACAUACAGGUCGAGCAAGGACGAAAGUCGGACUUAGUGAUCCGGUGGUUCCGCAUGGAAGGGCCAUCGCUCAACGGAUAAAAGCUACCCUGGGGAUAACAGGCUGAUCUCCCCCAAGAGUCCACAUCGACGGGGAGGUU